rnacentral:rRNA from 1 species
UACGGAGGGGGCAAGCGUUAUCCGGAAUCACUGGGUGUAAAGGGAGCGUAGACGGUAAUGUAAGUCUGAUGUGAAAGCCCGGGGCUCAACCCCGGGACUGCAUUGGAAACUAUGUAACUAGAGUACCGGAGAGGUAAGCGGAAUUCCUAGUGUAGCGGUGAAAUGCGUAGAUAUUAGGAGGAACACCAGUGGCGAAGGCGACCUUCUGGACAGUAACUGACGUUGAGGCACGAAAGUGUGGGGAGCAAACAGG